CACGUAGGGCGCAAGCGUUGUCCGGAAUUAUUGGGCGUAAAGAGCUCGUAGGCGGCCUGUUGCGUCCGCUGUGAAAGCCCGGGGCUUAACCCCGGGUCGGCAGUGGAUACGGGCAGGCUAGAGGUAGGUAGGGGAGAAUGGAAUUCCCGGUGUAGCGGUGAAAUGCGCAGAUAUCGGGAGGAACACCGGUGGCGAAGGCGGCUCACUGGCCCGAUACUGACGCUGAGGCACGAAAGCGUGGGGAGCAAACAGG
rnacentral:rRNA from 1 species